rnacentral:misc_RNA from 1 species
UCGAAGCCUAGAAAGCACGACUGCGAAUAAGUUUAAAAUAUCGGAAGCGCUGCGCGGCCCUCGGGCUCCUCGGCGCAACCUUGCACGGCUGGCGAGGAGACCCGUGCUCUUUGCCUGCCAAAACUAACGAAACCCGGCGCGGGUAGCGCCAAGGAAUCAAAACAAGAAGUGCUUGACCCUCCGACCCGUUGCGGGUUGCAGGGCCUUGCCUGUUCAUAAAAUAACAUAAUGACUCUCGGCAACGGAUAUCUCGGCUCUCGCAUCGAUGAAGAACGUAGCAAAAUGCGAUACUUGGUGUGAAUUGCAGAAUCCCGUGAAUCAUCGAGUCUUUGAACGCAAGUUGCGCCCGAAGCCUUUAGGCCAAGGGCACGUCUGCCUGGGCGUCAUGCACUGCGAUGCCCCCAUGCAAGCAUGAGGGGCGAAUCUUGGCCUCCCGUGAGCCCAACUCGCGGAUGGCUUAAAAAAGAGCCUCGAGACGGGAAAAACGUCGCGACAAGUGGUGGUUAAGAGGCCUCCGGCCCCGGAACAUAGCGCAUUGCGGCGUCACCCAUCCCUUGCUCGGAAGAGACCUAAGCGGAGCGCUACUGCGCCGCCAGCAUC